rnacentral:rRNA from 1 species
GAUGAACGCUGGCGGCGUGCCUAAUACAUGCAAGUCGAGCGAACGGACGAGAAGCUUGCUUCUCUGAUGUUAGCGGCGGACGGGUGAGUAACACGUGGAUAACCUACCUAUAAGACUGGGAUAACUUCGGGAAACCGGAGCUAAUACCGGAUAAUAUUUUGAACCGCAUGGUUCAAAAGUGAAAGACGGUCUUGCUGUCACUUAUAGAUGGAUCCGCGCUGCAUUAGCUAGUUGGUAAGGUAACGGCUUACCAAGGCAACGAUGCAUAGCCGACCUGAGAGGCGGGUCGGCCACACUGGAACUGAGACACGGUCCAGACGCCUACGGGAGGCAGCAGUAGGGAAUCUUCCGCAAUGGGCGAAAGCCUGACGGAGCAACGCCGCGUGAGUGAUGAAGGUCUUCGGAUCGUAAAACUCUGUUAUUAGGGAAGAACAUAUGUGUAAGUAACUGUGCACAUCUUGACGGUACCUAAUCAGAAAGCCACGGCUAACUACGUG